CCUACGGGUGGCAGCAGUGAGGAAUAUUGGACAAUGGGCGCGAGCCUGAUCCAGCCAAGUAGCGUGAGGGAUGACUGCCCUACGGGUUGUAAACUUCUUUUAUAAAGGAAUAAAGUGAGGCACGUGUGCCUUUUUGUCUGUGCUUUAUAAGUAAGGAUCGGCUAACUACGUGCCAGCAGCCGCGGUAAUACGGAGGAUCCGAGCGUUAUCCGGAUUUAUUGGGUUUAAAGGGAGCGUAGAUGGGUUGUUAAGUCAGUUGUGAAAGUUUGCGGCUCAACCGUAAAACUGCAAUUGAUACUGGCAGCCUGGAGUACAGUUGAGGUAGGUGGAAUUCGUGGUGUAGCGGUGAAAUGCUUAGAUAUCACGAAGAACUCCGAUGGCGAAGGCAGCCUACUAAACUGUCACUGACAUUGAUGCUCGAAAGUGUGGGUAUCAAACAGGAUUAGAUACCCGUGUAGUC
rnacentral:rRNA from 1 species